GAUUAAAUGGCUGAGGAUAGGCAAUAGACUGUAAAUCUAUUUAUGAAGGUGAGUAGCUUUCUUUAAUCA
rnacentral:tRNA from 1 species